rnacentral:rRNA from 1 species
UACGAAGGGGGCAAGCGUUGUUCGGAAUUACUGGGCGUAAAGGGCUCGUAGGCGGCCAACUAAGUCGGACGUGAAAUCCCCAGGCUCAACCGUGGAAUUGCAUUCGAAACUGGAAGUCUUGAGUGUGGAAGAGAUUGGUAGAAUACCUGGUGUAGUGGUGAAAUACGUAGAUAUCAGGUGGAAUACCGGUGGCGAAGGCGGCCAAUUGGCCCAACACUGACGCUGAGAUACGAAAGCGUGGGGAUCAAACAGG